CCUACGGGGGGCAGCAGUGAGGAAUAUUGGUCAAUGGACGAGAGUCUGAACCAGCCAAGUAGCGUGAAGGAUGACUGCCCUAUGGGUUGUAAACUUCUUUUAUAUGGGAAUAAAAUUUUCCACGUGUGGGAUUUUGUAUGUACCAUAUGAAUAAGGACCGGCUAAUUCCGUGCCAGCAGCCGCGGUAAUACGGAGGAUCCGGGCGUUAUCCGGAUUUAUUGGGUUUAAAGGGAGCGUAGGUGGGUUGUUAAGUCAGUUGUGAAAGUUUGGGGCUCAACCGUAAAAUUGCAGUUGAAACUGGCAGUCUUGAGUACAGUAGAGGUGGGCGGAAUUCGUGGUGUAGCGGUGAAAUGCUUAGAGAUCACGAAGAACUCCGAUUGCGAAGGCAGUUCACUGGACUGCAACUGACACUGAGGCUCGAAAGUGUGGGUAUCAAACAGGAUUAGAUACCCGAGUAGUC
rnacentral:rRNA from 1 species